UUUUAUUUGAGAGUUUGAUCCUGGCUCAGGAUGAACGCUGGCGGCGUGCCUAACACAUGCAAGUUGAGCGAUUUACUUCGGUAAAGAGCGGCGGACGGGUGAGUAACGCGUGGGUAACCUACCCUGUACACACGGAUAACAUACCGAAAGGUAUGCUAAUACGGGAUAAUAUAUUUGAGAGGCAUCUCUUGAAUAUCAAAGGUGAGCCAGUACAGGAUGGACCCGCGUCUGAUUAGCUAGUUGGUAAGGUAACGGCUUACCAAGGCGACGAUCAGUAGCCGACCU
rnacentral:rRNA from 1 species